UGCGGGAUGGCGCAGCUGGUAGCUCGUUGGGCUCAUAACCCAAAGGUCGUAGGUUCGAAUCCUGCCCCCGCUA
rnacentral:tRNA from 1 species